rnacentral:rRNA from 1 species
AGGACGAACGCUGGCGGCGUGCUUAACACAUGCAAGUCGAGCGGAAAGGCCCUUCGGGGUACUCGAGCGGCGAACGGGUGAGUAACACGUGAGUAAUCUGCCCCUAGCUCUGGGAUAGCUCCGGGAAACCGGGAUUAAUACCGGAUACGACCACCUUAGACAUCUUUUGUGGUGGAAAGAAUUUCGGCUAGGGAUGAGCUCGCGGCCUAUCAGCUUGUUGGUGGGGUAACGGCCUACCAAGGCGACGACGGGUAGCCGGCCUGAGAGGGCGACCGGCCACGACUGGGACUGAGACACGGCCCAGACUCCUACGGGAGGCAGCAGUGGGGAAUAUUGCGCGAUGGGCGAAAGCCUGACGCAGCGACGCCGCGUGGGGGAUGAAGGCCUUCGGGUUGUAAACCCCUUUCAGCAGGGACGAAGCGAAAGUGACGGUACCUGCAGAAGAAGCGCCGGCUAACUACGUGCCAGCAGCCGC